rnacentral:rRNA from 1 species
GACGAACGCUGGCGGCGUGCUUAACACAUGCAAGUCGAACGGAAAGGCCCUGCUUUUGUGGGGUGCUCGAGUGGCGAACGGGUGAGUAACACGUGAGUAACCUGCCCUUUACUUUGUUAUAACUUCAGGAAACUGGUGCUAAUACCGGAUAGGAGCUCCUUCUGCAUGGUGGGGGUUGGAAAGUUUCGGAGGUUGGGGAUGGACUCGCGGCUUAUCAUCUUGUUGGUUGGGUAGUGGCUUACCAAGGCUUUGACGGGUAGCCGGCCUGAGAGGGUGACCGGCCACAUUGGGACUGAGAUACGGCACAGACUCCUACGGGAGGCAGCAGUGGGGAAUAUUGCACAAUGGGCGGAAGCAUGAUGCAGAAACGCCGCGUGCGGGAUGACGGCCUUCGGGUUGUAAACCGCUUUCGCAUGUGACGAAGCGUGAGUGACGGUAAUGGGUAAAGAAGCACCGGCUAACUACGUG